rnacentral:lncRNA from 1 species
UGUAAACAAGAAAGAAAAUAAUACCAUCCAUUGGACAGGACUGUUCCUCCCCGGCAGUGUCGUGUGGCAGGACGAGUAACCAGGAAAGCUCGACUCUUGUUUCUUGUGGUUCAGAAUACACGUUGAAGUCAAUUUGUACGUGAAAAAAGUAAAUGUUAUGGUGAACAAACGCAUCUGUUGAACUCUAAAGGGCGAGAGGAAGGUAGGCCGUUGUUCAAAUUCUGUUACGUGAAACUUAUAUAUUUCAAGUGCUGUCUGUGCUCAGUGUGUUGUGACGAAGCUUCACUCGGCACAGCUCCGAGACAACACAGUCGCCCGGCCCAUCUUAGUGCGUUGCGGCAGCGUGCUGAGGCUGGGCCUUCGCGAGGGAACAGGAGUAACACGCCCAUCACCAGCCACUCAACAAAUGGAGAGGCCAGUGGUGGUUCUCUGCAGAUUGCUGGUGAGGUCUUGUCUCGCUGGCUAAAACCAUCAAACCAACUAUGUAACUGAAGAUCACGCCACUUUAGUAAACCCACUUUGUACUGACCCUUGGUGUGUUGGCCAACCUUCCUUGCAACAUUGCCAUACAUCGCAUUACUUCAUGGAAAAUGGAGUGAUACCUGUUCUCUGCUGUGUUCAGUUUAAUGCAGGACGUCACUGAAAAAAGUCACAAGAGAUCCAAAGACCUACUGUUUGCAGCUAAUUAUGCCAGAGGUGGGCUGAUCUUGUCACUAAAUAGUGUGUAUGGAACAAAUUAAUACUCAUGGUUGUCAGGAAGCACUAUAAACACCACCAAUACCAUCGACAAGAGAUGAUGCCCCACGUUGUUUGAAGUCACUGUAGACUCCGCCAACAAUCUGCAAGGUGAUGGUUGUGAUGUUGGAGGUGUUGAGGGGCUCUGCAUCUGGCACUUCCUGGCCACGGUAGUAGGGCUUGAAUGCAGUGAA